GGGAGGCCGAGGACCUGAUGGCCCAAAGGGAACCCCAGGACUGCGGGGAGCCCGGGUAACUAAUGGGGUGCUGGUACUUGGAGCUGAAUCUUGGAGCAUCUUUGGCUGUGGGAGAUUGAAACCAUGGAGAUGCCUCGCUGGGUGGCUUGGGAUGUGCUGGGGCUGAGCCGUGGCAGAUCUGAGCAGCAGCUUUGCCUCCAGAUCUGCAGUUUUACAGCUGGCAGAAGGAUGCUUUUCUUAAUGCUCGCUGUUUUCCAGGGCCGUGUGGGUCAGCGUGGGCUGGUCGGCAUCCCUGGGCUGCCUGGCUCGCGGGGCAUCCUGGGAGCAGAAGGCGCAGAAGGAAAGCCUGGUACACAGGGUCCCCCAGGGACUGUGGGUAGCCCAGGCAGGAGGGGACCACUGGUGAGUAGAAUUGCACAGCUGUCUGAUUUCUGUCCUUCCUUCCCUCUGCUCAGGUGUUUCCCCUUGGGGAUAGGCCUCAAAAUCAUGUCCAUGGGAUGGGGUGCAGGUGG
rnacentral:lncRNA from 1 species